rnacentral:tRNA from 1 species
GGCCAAAUGGUCUAGUGGUAUGAUUCUUGCUUUGGGUGCAAGAGGUCCUGGGUUCAAUUCCCAGUUUGGCCC